rnacentral:snoRNA from 1 species
AUUUGAUGAUGAGGGCAUUGACUGCAUAAUAGCUUAAAUCUUUCCCAAUCUUCAGCAAGUGUCUCUCCAUGAGAUUGUCGAAUCCCAUAUAUUUCUUUCCUUAUGUU